AUUGAACGCUGGCGGCAGGCCUAACACAUGCAAGUCGAGCGAGCGGCGGACGGGUGAGUAAUGUCUGGGAAACUGCCUGAUGGAGGGGGAUAACUACUGGACACGGUAGCUAAUACCGCAUACCAUCAGAUGUGCCCAGAUGGGAUUAGCUAGUAGGUGGGGUAACGGCUCACUUCGGCGACGUUCCCUAGCUGGUCUGAGAGGAUGACCAGCCACACUGGAGCUGGGCCACGGUCCAGAGUGUUACGGGAGGCGUCAUGGGAGAAUAUUGCAAGAUGGGCGCAAGCCUGGGGCGGCCAUGCCGCGUGUGGGAAGAAGACCUUCGGGUGGUAAAGCACGUUCAGCGGGGAGGCGUUACCGGCAGAAGAAGCACCGGCUAACGCGGUGCCAGCAGCCGCGGUAAGAC
rnacentral:rRNA from 1 species